CUUUAGUCUGCGCAAGGGAUAGUAGCGGAUAGCCCACAGCCCGACGCAGGAGGUGCGAGGACUUGUAGCGUAUAGCCCGACCGCUU
rnacentral:misc_RNA from 1 species